UUUUUUUUUUUUUUUUGAGACAAGGUCUCAAUAUGUAGUUGAGACUGACCCAUAACUCACUAUGAAGCCCAGGUUGGUCUCAAAUUCACAGCGAUCCUCCUGCCUCAGCCUCCCGAGUGCUGUGAUCACAGGCGUGUGCCACCACACCUGGCUCUUUCUUUCUUUUGAGAUAUACUCUUGCUAAUGUUGCUGGGUUGACUUUGAACUCCUGGGUUCAAGCCAUCUCUACUUCAAUCUCCUGAGUAGCUGGGACUACCGGGCUAUACCAUUAUGACUUCUCCUCCUUCUCCUUCUCCUUUUUCUUCUUUCUCGUGGUGCUGGAAAUCAAACUCAGGGCCUCAUGCAUGCUAGGCAAGCCCUCUAUCACUGCGCUAAUGUCGGGAGCAAUUCCACAUGAUUUUAAGGAAAAAAAAUAAUUUCAUAAUUAAAUUAGGGCCUAGUUUUCCUGCCUACAGGCCAGCUACGAUAUAACUCCAUUCUCUCCUGUGGUCACAGCUAGACCUCCACGGUCCAGGGAUGCUGCAAUUCUCCAAGGCAGGACUACACCAGCUGGAGACAUCCUGGGAGGAAUCAAAUCUUCAUCUGCGCAGUUCCUCACUCUUCUAGGAUUAUUACGCGCUGCCACUCUCUGAGUCAUCCGCUACUUUGUUUCUCCUGAUGUUGUGAAUGAAGUGCCUACGGACCUAGGUUUGUACAGCCCAGGGAUGCUCUCUAAGAAGCAGCCCAGAUGAUAACCCUUGUGGUGUUUGGGAAGCACUGUGGAUGCACAUUGCCCACUCGGGGCCGGUCUGUCACAACCCGGAAGAGGAGCCACUUGCGUUACUGAGCGCGGAGCCAUUCGCGGGGGUUGGCCUGGCGAGGGAUGGGGCCCCACACGGCCACAGCGCACACCUCCUCCUUCCUCCCCCUGGCCAGGUGCUCCUUUCUUCUCAUUGCGGCGCGCCCGGCCUGGCACUCUGUGCCCUGCUGCUUCUGUCCUGCAGCUUCUGGGUGUUUGGCUGGGGACCGGGUAAGACGGCUUUGUAA
rnacentral:lncRNA from 1 species